rnacentral:rRNA from 1 species
CAGCAGCCGCGGGAAUACGGAGGGUGCAAGCGUUAAUCGGAAUUACUGGGCGUAAAGCGUGCGUGGGCGGUUCGUUAAGUCUGUUGUGAAAGCCCCGGGCUCAACCUGGGAAUGGCAAUGGAUACUGGCGAGCUAGAGUGUGUCAGAGGAUGGUGGAAUUCCCGGUGUAGCGGUGAAAUGCGUAGAGAUCGGGAGGAACAUCAGUGGCGAAGGCGGCCAUCUGGGACAACACUGACGCUGAGGCACGAAAGCGUGGGGAGCAAACAGGAUUAGAUACCCCAGUAGUCCCUGUCUCUUAUAC